UAACAAGAGGCUGGAUGCUGCGUCCAUCACCAGAGGGGCCGGGAUUGCUGCGGCAGCUAGCCAAUUAAAGGAGGAGGAUGAAGGAGAGGAGUCUGACGAUGCAGACAUCGCCAUCGUAUGCAGGCCACGCCCUCGCAGGAAAACCAGCCAAUGAAAGCGCUCGCAUCAGCAGAACACACCGGCACGACUGACAGAGCUUCUGAAGCAUGCAGUGGAAGAGCUGUCAGUCAAGCUAAAGGUCCCGCCCUCCAACCUGCUGCUGCUGCACGGAGAGGCGGAACUUAACACCUCACACACUAUUGGCCAGCUAGGACUCUGCAUCGCUGACAUCAUUGUCUGGAACCAACUUCACAUCCCUCUUCACUGCACUACUGACACUGAGAUGGAAUCCACAACCCAACCACUAGUGGUCUGCAUUGGGAACCUGAAGAGUCUGUCAUCACCACCAGGAAUGACCGCGUGACCAUUCCCGUUGCAGACGGCCUGACUUGCACAAUUGACAAGCUGUUCAAGCUUUACUGGGUCUGCAACUUGUCAUAUCCAGCACAGCUCAGCUCUGUUUUCACCUUCUUUGAAUAUGUUUAUGACGUUCCAUCUCAACCAACAAACGACCAAAGGUACUAGAACUUCUCUCAAAGCUUCCCAGCAACCCAGUGAUCACUCAACAUGUGUUUAUGCCCAAGUACACGCUUUGUCAGAUGCACAGGGCAUGACGAUAAUAUGCAGCCAAGAUGGCUGUUCAAGUGUACAAGGACUUACUACGUAGACACCACCAGUCCACAACAACAGAAAUGGGUGUAUCUUUCAAUGACUCUUUUGAAUCCACUGACAUUCAGACAACCUAUGCAGCUUCAAGUAACACCUGAAGAAAGAGCAUUUUGUGUUCCUUCUCAAGGACAGAUUCUCUAUAAUUUACCACUUAAUGACAAUUUAUCUGUGUUCAUGCUUGUUAGGAUUAUUACUGAGAAUUAUUUUGAUUAUCAUUUUGGCAACACUUUAUUUUAGCAUUACAUCUAUUAGCUCUAAUACAUACAGUAUUAAUGCCUGUAUGCUCUAAGUAACUUGUAAGGCAUGCACUAAGCAAAAUCAAAUAUAUGUUAGGCAUGUAUUCGCAAAUUACUUGUUCAUGCACAAUUAGGGAUUUAUUACCUAAUAUAACCUCAAUAAGGACCUAACAAAUGUUUGAUUUCGCUUAGUACAUGCCUUACAAGUUACUUAUACAGGCAUUAACCCAUUGAUGCUGGAUGUUGCAUUGGCCCUGGCGCCUGGAGUUUUGUAUGGCAUCAGCACCCUUUUCUGCAAGUGCUUUAGGCAUCAAUGGGUUAACAUAUUAUGUAUUAGUGCUAAGCGAUGUAAUGUUAAAAUUAAGUGUUACCAUCAUAUUUUUAAAAAAUAUAUAUGUUGUAAAACUGGACGAUUGUGAAAUGAUAUGAUGUGGCAGAUGUAAGACCCAUUGAUGUAAUGCAGAGUUUUCAUUCAGAUGAACUGUCUCUUAACCCAAGGUACAAUGUCUUUUCUUUCAAUAUGUUGGAAGCUAUUUCAUAACAAUGUUAUUUUCAAGAAUAUUCAACACUAUUUCGAAUUUCAAGACUUUCUGGUUUUGUUAUACACCGGUAAUGUUGUUAAGAGAUGAUAGUGUACGAGUCAUAAUCAAUACUUCAUGAAAUUGGCAGUGGUGUUAAUUAUUCUUGAAAAAGAUAACAUUUGUUAUCUCCCCCUCUUCUGAAAAGCAUAACAAAAAAGAAUAUGACAGUUAAGUUAAUGUAAUACUUUUUUUUUUUAAUUGAGUGUAAUCACAACUGUACAAAAAAAAAAAAAACGUUGUAGAGGUCUUUUAACAGUGCAAGAAAACACACGCUAAAUAUAUGUAGUCAAGACUUUUGAAGAUUGAACCUUGUAAACAAAAGUGUUUGCUAGAUAAAAGUAAACCCCCCCUGUCACUUUCCAUGUGAUAAAUGUCAGUAUAUAUUUGAAAACUAGAAGUUUCAAGGUUUUUAAUGCUGUCACUUUUCUGUUUGAAUGACAACUCACAGAGUUACAGAUGUUUUUGUAGAAGUGACAGAUGGGGUCACCGGUGACCCCGUAGACCUCAGAGUGUUAAGGAAAGACUGUAUGAGUCAUUGUGAAUACUUGCUGAAAUACUGAAUAAACAGAAUUUAUUGUAAA